AGUUCGGAUUGUAGGCUGAAACUCGCCUACAUGAAGCUGGAGUUACUAGUAAUCGCAGAUCAGAAUGCUGCGGUGAAUGCGUUCCCGGGUCUUGUACACACCGCCCGUCACACCACGGAAGUUGGGGGCGCCCGAAGCCACUUAGCUAACCCAUUUGGGAAGCGAGUGUCGAAGGUGAAAUCAAUAACUGGGGUGAAGUCGUAACAAGGUAAC
rnacentral:rRNA from 1 species